UACUGUGGUCAUAGCACCCUAAACCUGUUGGAUCUUGUCUGAUCUUAGAAGUUUGAGCAGGUUUGCAUCUAGAUAGUACUUGGAUGGGAGACCACCUGGGAAUACUAGGUCCUGUGGGUU
rnacentral:rRNA from 1 species